rnacentral:lncRNA from 1 species
UUAGGCCUACAUGUGAGAAAAAGUGUUAUUCAGCAUAGACUUCAAAUGGGAAGAGCAGGGACUGCCAUCCUUGCUGAUUAUACAUGGGGGACGAAGGAAAUAUUUACAGCUUGCGGAAGGUUUGGUUCAGGGCUGAGACCUCAUGAGAGAGAAGAGGAAGGCUGUGUCCUGAAAUCUUUUGCAGACUAUCCCCUUCCGUGCUUGGAGUGGUUCUGGGGUAGCAGCUAAUUACAUCAUCCUCCAGCCUGGCUUGGGCCUGGCCGAUAGUGGGGGGCAUUCUCCUGGCUGUCGUGGUCGGCCAGACGGGAGGACAUGUGACUGAUGCAGAGCCAAUCGGAGUCUUUCCCUGGGAGUUUAUGGACAGACACCAGGUUGGGAUGAUAAAAGUCUCUUUUGGUCCGUAGGCUAGGAUCGGGAAAGCUGAGCGCUGUCUGUGGCCAAUCCCCUCUCUGCCUGCCCCUAAACACUGCUUUCCUGGCUGUAGGGAAGAAGUCUAAAUGCCACAGGAGAAACCAGCCAGUGUGUACAGAGUGGAGAGGGGAGGGAGGGAAGGGUAGGAAGGGGGGUGGAGAGAGAGAGAGAGAGAGAGAGAGAGAGAGAGAGAGAAUCUGGUGAUGAUUUGAAUGUCUGCAGCUUCCUGAGGCCAGCUCUGGCCCCGGGGUUCCCAGUUAUUUGAACCAAUUAAAACCUACUUCAAUUUUGGCUGUGAUGGGUUUCUACCACUCACAACAUAAGAUUUCAGACCGUUUCACUCUGGAACCUCACCUAAGCCUCCCGCCCUGGGGAAAGUCGUGUGGCUGAGUAGCCUAAGAUCCCUCCAGUCAAACAUUCUCGGUCUUAAAUAUGCUUAAUUCCACCUCCCCGACUGCCUGGUGGCCUCAGCUGCCUCUAGGGCUGGGUCUGUGCCACAAGCACCUGCUGAGUUAGGCCCUAGGGACACCCUGUGUUAGGCCCUAGGGACACCCUGUGGUUCAGCACACCCCCGACCCCCACUGUGGCUGGGAGACAAAGUCACUUCUAGAGGGAUGAGGAAGCGGCACAGGGGGGCUGAAGGUUGCUCAGGGACCAGAAUGCUCAUGUUGGAGCCUGGGGACACCCUCACGUCUCCCCGGGACUCCAGUUAACACCCGGAGCUGCUUCGUGGCUGUUCUUUAAAGAACAGUCUGGGCAAUCCCACGUGACCACAAAUGACUACAAGGGAAGCAGAGACUACCAUUGCUCUUCCCUCUCCCCACCGUGUGCCCCCAGGUUUGAGUGGGUAUCUGUGGGGUAUCUGCAGAGGACCUACUGUGUGCAGGGCUCCU